rnacentral:rRNA from 1 species
GACAGAGGGUGCAAGCGUUGUUCGGAAUUAUUGGGCGUAAAGGGCGCGUAGGUGGCUGCGUAAGUCGAAUGUGAAAGCUCUGGGCUCAACCCAGAAAGUGCAUUUGAUACUGCGCAGCUUGAGUCCCGGAGAGGGUGGUGGAAUUCCCAGUGUAGAGGUGAAAUUCGUAGAUAUUGGGAGGAACACCGGUGGCGAAGGCGGCGACCUGGGUUGACACUGACGCUGAGGCGCGAAAGCGUGGGGAGCAAACAGG